AUUUGUAAUUUGUAUCAUAAAAAUGUGAAUUGUAUGGUGCUGUUUAUUCCACUUCAACUGAAUAAAUAGAGAACAAUGCUGUAUUUACCGUGUGCUUCAGUUCCGAGGUUUUUAGGUUCCAGCCUGGGCUUCAGACUUCUUGUGUGGAGUUCCCAAAGUUGAAGAUUGAAUCGUCCAAAGAAUUAAACAUUCAAAUUGUGUCCGAACACUGGGAACAAAACGGUGACACA